GGCACAACCAUUAAGACCCUCAUCUAUAGUGGACUGGAACAAAGCACAGGUGACUGUAACACAGAUUGAUGAAAGAUUCUGCAGGACGACAAAGGUUAAAGAUGUAGACCCGGAGCUAGAAGCCAGCACUGACACUGAUGGAGUGGACUGCGAUGAGAAUGCCCACAUUAUUGUCCUAUCCUCUGAUAACCAAUGUAAUAUGAAAACCGACUACAGAAGAAAGGAACAAAUUAAAUCCAUUAAUCAAGCAUAUCUCUGCUAAACAGUUGUUCGAAACUGAUGAACAAAUGAAAAAUUUACUGUUUGUUUUCAUGCUUGCAAGGAUUGGGGAAGAAAAUUAAUUAUAAGUUGGGGACUAUUGGAAUAAAAUUGAAUGAUGUGAACAGGAAUGAGAAGAAUGCCAUUCAGGACAUAGGCAUGGGCAGAGACUUCAUGACAAAACACCAAAAGCAAUGGAAACGAAGCCAAAAUUGACAAAUGGGAUCUAAUUAAACUAAAGAGCUUCUGCACAGCAAAACAAACUAUCAUCAGAGUGAAUAGGCAACCUACAGAAUGGGAGAAAAUUUUUGCAAUCUACCCAUCUGACAAAGGGCUAAUAUCCAGAAUCUACAAAGAACUUAAACAAAUUUACAAGAAAAGACAAACAACAACAUCAAAAAUGAGAGAAGGAUAUGAACAGACAUUUCUCAAAAGAAGACAUUUAUGCAGCCAAUAAACAUAUGAAAUAAAGCUCAUCAUCACUAAUCAUUAGAGAAAUGCAAAUGAAAACCACAAUGAGAUAUCAUCUCAUGCCAGUUAGAAUGGCGAUCAUAUAGCUCCAUUCUAAGAGGAGGGGCCAUAAAAACUCUUCAGGUGUUCAGGUAUCCAUGUCAACUCACAUUCUCUGUGUAAUAAUUCUUUGAAUAUAUAAGCAUGCUGAUUUUCUCAAUGAGCAGUCACCUUAGAAAACUUUCACCAUGGCUUUGACAAUUACCAGUCUCCUUGAUCAUGAGCUUAUAGUUCCUUACCCUUGCCUCAAAUAACUGCUUAUUAAGGUGUAACAAAAAUGUGCUUCAUUCUUUGUUUCCCCUCAACUCCAGAAUCAUGGCUACCUCUUCUUGCUUUUCACUCUCUUUCCUUUCUUGAUUUCAGGCUUGUAUGUAUUUCAAGCAUCUACCCCAACCCUUCCCCCAUAUUUUGCUCCUAAACAUUAUUUUAGCUUCCCAAUUCUGGCUUUCUCACUGACACUAUGAUGCUCCUUUGUUCAUGCUUUCUGUUCCAACUAGCCUUCCCAGCAAGAAUAUCCCACAGCUUCACAGCUGAAAUUCCCACUCGUUUUACACUUUCAAACUCUCUAAUCUUCCCUUCCCACGGUUGAACUUAUUAUUUCUCUGAAGUAUCAAUAAACAUUUACUUCUUAAUUAACCAAA
ensembl:lncRNA LINC02027 long intergenic non-protein coding RNA 2027